rnacentral:rRNA from 1 species
UUAAGUGAAUAAGGGCGCACGGUGGAUGCCUUGGCACUAGGAGCCGAUGAAGGACGGGACUAACACCGAUAUGCUUUGGGGAGCUGUACGUAAGCUAUGAUCCAGAGAUUUCCGAAUGGGGGAACCCAACAUCUUUAAUAGGAUGUUACGAUUGUGUGAAUACAUAGCACAUUCGAGGUAGACGCAGAGAACUGAAACAUCUAAGUACCUGCAGGAAGAGAAAGAAAAUUCGAUUCCCUGAGUAGCGGCGAGCGAAACGGGAAAAGCCCAAACCAGCAAGCUUGCUUGUUGGGGUUGUAGGACUCCAAUAUGGUAGUUCUUUCAGAUAGUCGAAUGACUUGGAAAAGUCAGUCAAAGAGGGUAAAAACCCCGUAGACGAAAUGUGGAAGACACCUAGGAGGAUCCUGAGUACGGCGGAACACGAGAAAUUCCGUCGGAAUCCGGGAGGACCAUCUCCCAAGGCUAAAUACUCCCUAGUGACCGAUAGUGAACCAGUACCGUGAGGGAAAGGUGAAAAGCACCCCGGAAGGGGAGUGAAAUAGAACCUGAAACCGUGUGCCUACAACAAGUCAAAGCCCGUUAAUGGGUGAUGGCGUGCCUUUUGUAGAAUGAACCGGCGAGUUACGAUUGCAUGCGAGGUUAAGUUGAAGAGACGGAGCCGCAGCGAAAGCGAGUCUGAAUAGGGCGUUUGAGUAUGUAGUCGUAGACCCGAAACCAUGUGAUCUACCCAUGUCCAGGUUGAAGGUGCGGUAAAACGCACUGGAGGACCGAACCCACGUACGUUGAAAAGUGCGGGGAUGAGGUGUGGGUAGCGGAGAAAUUCCAAACGAACUUGGAGAUAGCUGGUUCUCUCCGAAAUAGCUUUAGGGCUAGCCUCGGAAUUGAGAAUGAUGGAGGUAGAGCACUGUUUGGACUAGGGGCCCAUCUCGGGUUACCGAAUUCAGAUAAACUCCGAAUGCCAUUCAUUCAUAUCCGGGAGUCAGACUGUGAGUGAUAAGAUCCAUAGUCGAAAGGGAAACAGCCCAGACCACCAGCUAAGGUCCCAAAAUAUAUGUUAAGUGGAAAAGGAUGUGGGGUUGCACAGACAACUAGGAUGUUAGCUUAGAAGCAGCCACCAUUUAAAGAGUGCGUAAUAGCUCACUAGUCGAGUGACCCUGCGCCGAAAAUGUACCGGGGCUAAACAUAUUACCGAAGCUGUGGAGUACACCUUUAGGUGUAUUGGUAGGAGAGCGUUCUAAGGGCGUUGAAGGCAGAUCGUGAGGACUGCUGGAGCGCUUAGAAGUGAGAAUGCCGGUAUGAGUAGCGAAAGACAGGUGAGAAUCCUGUCCACCGAAUGACUAAGGUUUCCUGGGGAAGGCUCGUCCGCCCAGGGUUAGUCGGGACCUAAGCCGAGGCCGACAGGCGUAGGCGAUGGAUAACAGGUUGAUAUUCCUGUACCCGUUGUUUUUGUUUGAGCAAUGGAGGGACGCAGGAGGCUAAGGAAUGCAGACGAUCGGAAAUGUCUGUCCAAGCAGUAAGUCUGAAGAGGAGUCAAAUGCUUCUUUUCUUAAGGACAAGCUGUGAUGGGGAGGGAAAUAAUAGUACCGAAGUUCCUGAUGUCACACUGCCGAGAAAAGCUUCUAGUGAGAAAACAGCGGCCCGUACCGCAAACCGACACAGGUAGUCGAGGAGAGAAUCCUAAGGUGAGCGAGAGAACUCUCGUUAAGGAACUCGGCAAAAUGACCCCGUAACUUCGGGAGAAGGGGUGCUGAUCAUACGAUCAGCCGCAGUGAAUAGGCCCAAGCGACUGUUUAUCAAAAACACAGGUCUCUGCAAAAUCGUAAGAUGAAGUAUAGGGGCUGACGCCUGCCCGGUGCUGGAAGGUUAAGAGGAGUGCUUAGCGCAAGCGAAGGUACGAAUUGAAGCCCCAGUAAACGGCGGCCGUAACUAUAACGGUCCUAAGGUAGCGAAAUUCCUUGUCGGGUAAGUUCCGACCCGCACGAAAGGCGUAACGAUUUGGGCACUGUCUCAACGAGAGACUCGGUGAAAUUUUAGUACCUGUGAAGAUGCAGGUUACCCGCGACAGGACGGAAAGACCCCAUGGAGCUUUACUGUAGUUUGAUAUUGAGUGUCUGUACCGCAUGUACAGGAUAGGUAGGAGCCGUAGAAAUCGGAACGCUAGUUUCGAUGGAGGCGCUGGUGGGAUACUACCCCUGCGUUAUGGCCACUCUAACCCGCACCACUAAUCGUGGUGGGAGACAGUGUCAGAUGGGCAGUUUGACUGGGGCGGUCGCCUCCUAAAAGGUAACGGAGGCGCCCAAAGGUUCCCUCAGAAUGGUUGGAAAUCAUUCGAAGAGUGUAAAGGCAGAAGGGAGCUUGACUGCGAGACCAACAAGUCGAGCAGGGACGAAAGUCGGGCUUAGUGAUCCGGUGGUUCCGCAUGGAAGGGCCAUCGCUCAACGGAUAAAAGCUACCCUGGGGAUAACAGGCUUAUCUCCCCCAAGAGUCCACAUCGACGGGGAGGUUUGGCACCUCGAUGUCGGCUCGUCGCAUCCUGGGGCUGUAGUCGGUCCCAAGGGUUGGGCUGUUCGCCCAUUAAAGCGGCACGCGAGCUGGGUUCAGAACGUCGUGAGACAGUUCGGUCCCUAUCCGUCGCGGGCGUUGGAAAUUUGAGAGGAGCUGUCCUUAGUACGAGAGGACCGGGAUGGACUUACCGCUGGUGUACCAGUUGUUCUGCCAAGGGCAUUGCUGGGUAGCUAUGUAGGGAAGGGAUAAACGCUGAAAGCAUCUAAGUGUGAAGCCCACCUCAAGAUGAGAUUUCCCAUUUCUUUAAGAAAGUAAGAUCCCUGAGAGAUGAUCAGGUAGAUAGGUCAGGAGUGGAAGUACAGUGAUGUAUGGAGCGGACUGAUACUAAUCGAUCGAGGACUUAACCAA